GAAGAAAAUUGUUGAAGUAAAUGUUGAAAACAGUCCAAACCCCCUUCUCACACAAAUACUACAAGUCGCUCGAGACAUUCAGCACGCCACCUAUGAACAUCUCGCACAAAAACAAGUCGUUCAAGAAAUUCAGCACGCCACCUAUGAACAUCUCCCACAAAUACUACAAGUCGCUCAAGAUUCAGCACGCCACCUAUGAACAUCUCCUACAAAUACUACAAGUCGCUCAAGAAAUUCAGCAUGCCACCUAUGAACAUCUCCCACAAAUAAUACAAGUCGUUCAAGAAAUUCAGCACGCCACCUAUGAACAUCUCCAACAAAUACUACAAGUCGCUCAAGAAAUUCAGCACGCCACCUAUGAACAUCUCCCACAAAUACUACAAGUCGUUCAAGAAUUUCGGCACGCCACCUAUGAACAUCUCCCACAAAUACUACAAGUUGCUCAAGAAAUUCAGCACGCCACGUAUGAACAUCUCGCACAAAUACUACAAGUUGUUUAAAAAUUUGGCAGGCCACGUAUGAACAUCUCCCAGAAAUACUACAAGUCGCUCAAGAUUCAGCACGCCACCUAUGAACAUCUCGCACAAAUACUACAAGUCGCUCAAGAAAUUCAGCAUGCCACCUAUGAACAUCUCCCAUUAAAUACUACAAGUCGCUCAAGAAAUUCAGCACGCCACCUAUAAACAUCUCCCACAAAUACUACAAGUCGCUCAAGAAAUUCAGCACGCCACCUAUGAACAUCUUCCAAUACUACAAGUCGGUCAAGAAAUUCUGCACGCCAUCUAUGAACAUCUCGCACAAAUACUACAAGUCGCUCAAGAAAUUCAGCACGCCACCUAUGAAAAUCUCCCACAAAUACCACAAGUCGUUCAAGAAAUUCAGCACGCCACGUAUGAACAUCUCCCACAAAUACUACAAGUCGUUCAAGAAAUUCAGCACGCCACCUAUGAACAUCUCCCACAAAUAAUACAAGUUGUUCAAGACAUUCAGCACGCCACGUAUGAUCAUCCCCUUGAAAUACUACAAGUCUUCAACAAAUUCAGCACGUCACCUAUGAACAUCUCACAAAUACUAUAAGUCGCUCAAGAAAAUCAGCACUCCAGGUAUUAACAUCUUGCACAAAUACUACAAGUCGCUCAAGCAAUUCAGCGUGUCACCUAUGAACAUCUUGCAUGGUGGCUUGGUGAGUCUGACUUCUGUCUUGACAAGUCACUCAAGAUAAAAUAAUCGGAUCUAACAGAAAGAGCAGGUGCUGAGUGACUCGUCUGUUAACUUGACUGACCUCGAUACGUUGCUCUCGAAUAAUGAGAACCUGACGCACGAGGAACAGUGCUGUCCAACAUUCCCAGUUUUUGGUUGGCGACUUCACUGUCGGGACUCACACAAUCUCUGCCUAUAAGCAACAAAAACAGUAUUUACAGAUAUGCAACUGGAGUGAUGAUAUGCCCUGAAGAUAUUUAUUAAUUAUACCCCCUGUUAAUUGGGGUAUAAUGGAAUCCCCUUGGACGGACGUCUAUCUGUCUGUCUUUCCUUCUGUCUGUGGGCGUUCACUUAACGAUUCAACGUUCAGCUUUCAAAUUUUCAGGACCCCAUGCAGUCACACAUCUGUACACAGCGGACAACAACGGGCUCUCUGGUCAGCUGGGCCGUUACAGGACCCCAUGCAGUCACACAUCUGUACACAGCGGACAACAACAGGCUCUCUGGUCAGCUGGGCCUGGACGCCCGGGGACAAAUCCUUGGUAUAGGCGGUGAGCUCUUGGGCCAGGAAUUUGGGGCAAAGCUGAAUGAGUCCUACCCCAAGGGUACAUCCAGUCUAACAAUGGGGCUCCAAACUUCCCUUCUCAGGGGCAGAUAUAACCUCAUCUACAAGGGCCCUUAUCAUCACAAGUUUGGCCCAGCAAAUGAUGUUCCUCAACUGCAACACAGCCACUGCAUCUUAACAGGAAAACAUGUCAAUUUACAAAGCACCCUUCCCUGAAAAUCUGGCCAAGCUAAUAAACAAUGUGAAUGCAUCAACGUGACCCUUUAGAGAAACAGGAUUCCAGGCCGAAUGUCAAACCGUCUGGGCUCCAGCAGCAGCCUCAGCCGUGGGGGUCAGGUUCAUGAUGCACCUAUGCUCUCAAUGCUCUCUGAACAUCUUAAUCUCACAGCAACAGUGGAUAACAUGCCCUUCAAGUUGGGGAUGGUUGAGGGUCUCCCAAAACCACCCAGUGCCUUGCGAUGAAAACCUCCAACAGGACUGUGACCUUGCCCUUGGACUCACCUAAUGGUCAGGUUCAAGGUCACAUGGGCUUAGAUAGUCACUGCAGUAAAAAAGUGUAUGGUUUUAAAGUAAAGAAGACUUCACAACAUGACAUCUGAGACUGCAGGGACGAAAUGACUCACGUCAGCAGAGGAAGCCAAGACACAAUACGAGAAUUUCCAGCGGCUUACCUGCUUGUAUGGGUUUAUUUUAAACCUAAUUAUUAUAUGAUUUAGUUAGGAUGUUUGCCAGUCUGUCGUUGGGUGUGUUGGUAGACCAGUUGAUUUCCUAUAACUAACUCAUCAACAAAUUGAUCUAUUGGCUUCAUACUUCACAUGUGCAUUGGUCUUGGACAGUAGAUGACCUCUAUUGAAAUUGGGGUCACUACUUCACAGAAAACCUGGGUAGCAGAGCAAUGAGUAUAUCUCAGGAGCAUUUGCAGUCACAGCAAGUGAACCAGCGGCAGUCAUCGUCUCUAGAUUCCGAGAUCCCCAUGCUUCACAACCCUCAGUCUAUGAACAUCAUGCAUAGCAAACCUUGGACGUCCAUUGACGAAAUCAAACCGGCAAAUCAGAAGGACAGCCUGUUGCUACAGUUGUUAUCAUAUUAACCCCAGUCAUACCGAAGAAGCUCAGAGAUAUAAAUGGUGUUUAAGAUGUGCUUGUCUCUGCAUACUCCAUGUCUGGUGUGAACAUGUACAAUUGAAGGUCUCUACAUACACCAUGUCUGGUGUGAACAUGUACAAUUGAAUGUCUCUACAUACACCUUGUCUGGUGUGAACAUGUACAAUUGAAGGUCUCUACAUACACCAUGUCUGGUGUGAACAUGUACAAUUGAAGGUCUCUGCAUACCCCAUGUCUGGUGUGAACAUGUACAAUUGAAGGUCUCUGCAUACUCCAUGUCUGGUGUGAACAUGUGCAACUGAAGAUCUCUACAUACCACAUGUCUGGUGUGAACAUGUACAAAUUAAUAUCUCUAUAUACCCCAUGUCUGGUGUGAACAUGUACGAUUGAAGGUCUCUACAUACCACAUGUCUGGUGUGAACAUGUACAAAUAAAGGUCUGUACAUACCCCAUGUCUGGUGUGAACAUGUACAAUUGAAGGUCUCUGCAUACUCCAUGUCGGGUGUGAACAUAUACAAUUGAAGGUCUCUACAUACUCCAUGUCUGGUGUGAACAUGUACAAUUGAAGGUCUCUACAUACCACAUGUCUGGUGUGAACAUGUUCAAUUGAAGAUCUCUACAUACCCCAUGUCUGGUGUGAACAUGUACAAUUGAAGGUCUCUACAUACCACAUGUCUGGUGUGAACAUGUACAAUUGAAUGUCUCUACAUACCACAUGUCUGGUGUGAACAUACACAAUUGAAGGUCUCUACAUACCCCACGUCUGGUGUGAACAUGUACAAUUGAAGGUCUCUACAUACCCCAUGUCUGGUGUGAACAUGUACAAUUGAAGGUAUCUACAUACCCCGUGUAUGGUGUGAACAUGUACAAUUGAAGGUCUCAUCUUUGAAAUUGGGACAGGUGGAAAAUUAAUGAAUUGAUGCAGACAGAAGUCGCGUAAUGACAAUUCAAACAAAACGUGUAAAUCCAGACAGUCUUGUGGCCAGCCAUGCUUUUAUGUGACCAUCCAAGUUGUGUUCAAAGAAAACAAUAGUUCAUGUUUUAUUGGAAUUAUGAUGCUGAUAGUCAUUUUAUGUGAAAGGCUUUUAUGAACUAUAUUUAAAUACUCAGUAUAAAAAGAUUAAGUUUACUUGAUAAAAGCAAUAAUGAACAAUAUUAUUUUAAGAGCAAAAUUAGCAAGUCUAUCCAAUUACUGUGUCUGUAUUAUGAAAUUUUAUUUUGGAAAUGUUAAGGAAAAUAUAAUGUUACUAAAUAUAUGUCUAUGAAUGUUGAUUUUAACAUUUGUCAAAGCUGUUUAAAUGAUGCUGGUAACUUUGACAAAAUUGAAAGAAAAUGUAUUAUUUUCAUGUAAAGAGACAUGCUUCAGUUUGUUUUGCUUAACAUGUAAUAUAGAGGUGGUAGUUACACACAUUGUUUAGACAGAUGGAUAAUUUUAAUGCUAAGGCUUUGAUACUCUUAAGUGUGCCCAUUGGUGUCAGGUGUUUUUGUCAAGCAUCUUGUUUAUUAUCUUAGUAUUUCAAGACAAUAUUCAUUAAUUUUAGACAAAAUCAUUUAAUCUUCCUUAAAUUGUCUAUUCGGUAUUGACUACCAGUUAUUUAUUAAUUUGCUUGAACAUGAUUUAAGAAUGACUUUUUUGUUGCUUAAAAUGCUUUAUAUGUGUUAAAACUGAGCAUUUAAAAACGAAAAUAUAAGAUGUGGGAAUAAUGUCUAAAGUUAUGAUAAUUAUUUUUUGUUUUUGUAAAGUUAAUUAUGCCUUAUAUGUUUUUGUAUAGACAUUUAGACGACCAGAUUAACCUGACCAAGAAUUCUUGAUCAAUGUGUAUAUCGGUCACUUCAUUUGUCAUUUGUAUAUAGAGCGAUUGCGAAAUGAUUGUAUUGUUAAUGAAAAUCAUGCGUUUAUUGUUGCCAUUUUGAUUUUCGCUGUUAACAUUUAUUUAUACAAACAAUUUUCAUCAUGUACAUCUUUUAGGUGCCAGAUAAUAAAAAAACAUUGCUUGUGGGAAUGCUCAUUUAAAACUUUCUUAAUGAUACAGAACAACACAUUCUGAAGAGGCAAAUAUGCUUUAGACAAUAGGAACAUCUUGUUACUAAUAUAUGUAAUGCCUUUCACUAAAUAAAGUCAAGCAACUAUUGAAAGAUUGGUGUAACUUUGUUUUGCAUUAUCUUAAGAAAAAUUAAUAUAUUCAACUUGGAAAUCAGUCAAUUGCAAAUCAAGCGAGAGUGAUUUAACAUGCUAACACUUGUCAAUAAUUGAAUUGUCUCUCUUUGUACGUAAGAUAUAGGGAUGUUGUUGCUUGAAAAACAAAGUUGUAUCCGUUGUUAGAUAAUGCUUUUGUUCAUCUCUCAACAUAACAAGUACAUUCAUACAGUUAUUAAAAAUUUGACACUCUUAAUUCUCAGCCAUCAGUUUGUAUUGGGAAUUUGUGGAAUACUUACUAAACUAAUAUACGUCUGUUUAAUGAAUUAAUAGCUAUGGUACAAUAUGAUACUCAAUGUUACAAAACAUGUGUAAUAAAAAUAUAAUGUUAUUUAUUUCAAAUCAUAAAAUUUAGUUGUCCAUACAAUGCUUACAGUUUUGCAAUUGCGACGAUAAAGGAAAUGUUCUGCUUAAAAUGUCUUUUUAAGACAUGUGAAAAUUGUAGCAAUCAUAUUGUACUUGUAUUUAUAUUAUACAUUAUAAGAAUUUACUUACAGCUGAUGAUAGCGGCAGUUUACUAGUUGUGUAACAGUUUGUUUCACUCGACCAUUAUACCAUAUUGCCUUAAAAAUGUGAUUGUUUAUACUGAACUUUAAUUGAAUGCAUGAAACAUGAUUGUUCUGUUGCUUAACAGCUGAAAAUAGCUUGAUGUUUGUUAAUUGUGUGAAAUGUUUCAAAUAAAUCAUAUUGAUACAUAGAAAAUAAAAUUACAUUUUGCGUUAAUUUGAAUGCAUAACAAACAAUUGUUACCAUACAAACACAGUCAUAGUGAACUAAAUUGAUAUUUUGAGAUGCAAUUUUUACAAUAAUGUGUUAAUAUUUUCAUCUAUUCUAAAUAAACAUUUUGCAUUCGUAAAUAUAGGGUGUAUAUAUACUUUAUAGAAACUGCUUAGACGCCUUAUUUAAAUUGCGUGUGUACCUCAUAUUGAUUAAAGACUAUUAAUUAUUGCAUAUUUGUUUGUGCCUAUGUCUAACUUAUCUCUUCAUAGUCCUUACAUUACUGCAAAUAGUAUUUUAAUAAAGUUAAAAUAUUUAUCUAAACUAUAACCAGGCAAAGACCUAUAGAUUACAAAAUCUAUAGGUCUUUGAACCAGAUUAUCUGUUAAAUUAAGUUUCGUGCAUUUGUAUUGUCUAGCUUAUUAAAUUGAAGUGUCUAUAUUCUCGCCUACAUAAAUUGUCGAUGUAUGGUUUAGACAAAUCACAUUUCACAACUCAUGUUGUUUUUAUCCAUCAUUAAUAACCAGUGUUUAGUCCAUAGAGGUUACAUUAUGCUAAAUAUUUCAGUUGUGCAAUGCUUUGCUAUCUUAAUAAAUCAACGCUAUUUAUUGAUUUUCUAUAUGGGCACUUCCCAUGACUUCAGGGAGGGCAAACAUUGUUUGCUUGAAGGUAAGAAACUUAAUGUUGACAUCUUGAAAGAUGGCAGUAAACAUUUAACUGUAGAGUAGCUGGGAAAAAGAUGGCUGUUAAACGAUGUAAGACAGAACUCCCCACAAGAUAUGUCAUGCAUGCAAAACGCAUGACCUAUCUUUUUUUCUUUUUUUUUUUGAUCGGAAUGAUCUUUAAGAACUGGUAUGGUUAUGAGGGUCUCUAUGUGCAAAAUGUUGCAUUUAUUUUGUGUUAAAGUUAUUGCUUUAACAUUGAAUUUGUUAUGGAAUUAUUAUAGUUUAUUUGACUUAUAGAGAUAUACAUAUUUAUUUUAAUGAUGUAUUUUUCCUGAUCCAAGUAUGUUGUUGCAGACUAUUUAAAGUAGAUUACUACAAGUUAUCCCAUUCAAAUGGGAAUAUUAUUGUAAUGUGGAAGAGUGGAGUGAGUUUAAAUAAAAAUACUAUGAAC